rnacentral:lncRNA from 1 species
GGGGAGCCCAUGUCUAUUAAAGGAACUGGGGUUCCAUGCUCAGCAGGGUACGUGCACCUUGUGCCUCUGAACAAAGAGCAACAGGAAAGUAGAGGCCAGUGCACGGCAUCUUCCUCGCCUCUCUCCGGGCAGAGCUGCCUUAUAGCACAAGCGCAAGUACAGCGAGCUCACGGGAAUUUCCGAGGACGUGGGGGUUCAGGCUGCCAAGACGGAUGUGACCAGCAAGGAGCUUCUAAGGUCUGAAGAUUGGGAAGGUCAAGGGUCAAGCUCUCCUAAGCCCC